CCCCAGUCUCCAUCUUAUCUUUUCCUCUCGUACAAUGCAUCUUGGGUUAUCUGUUGCUUUGACAGGCGCCAUCUUGGAAUAGCGGGGCUUUCUCGUCGUAACUGGGGUAAAGAUGCCGGUCAAUGUGAAUCCAGCGAUUCGGUUUUCAAGAUAUGCUGCUCUUCUCAUUGGUGUGGCAUAUGGAUACAGAAGAAAUGAGUACCUCAAACCUAUAGCAGCUCGUGAGAGGGAAGAAGAAGCUGCAAGGGCCAAAGAGAGAGCAGAGCUUGAGGCAAUCAGGAAAGCUGAAGCUGAUAAAGUUCCACUGUUUUAGAUGGCCAUCUAUCUUUCUAUGAUUGUGGAGGGAUGUGGAGUAUCCAUUCAUGAUAUUAUGUCAAACUUUUGGUGCCAAUUUAUUCCUUUAUGUCCUGUGAUAUUAAUUUUGUAAGGCCAUAAUACUCUGUACUUGAUAAUACAAUGUCAAUAAAUGUUUUUGAAAUGA